rnacentral:rRNA from 1 species
GAGGAACAUGUGGUUCAAUUCGAUGAUACGCGAGGAACCUUACCUGGGCUUAAAUGGGGAGUGACAGCUGCCGAAAGGUGGCUUUCUUCGGACACUCUUCAAGGUGCUGCAUGGUUGUCGUCAGCUCGUGCCGUGAGGUGUCGGGUUAAGUCCCAUAACGAGCGCAACCCUUAUCGUUAGUUGCCAGCGGGUCAAGCCGGGGACUCUAGCGAGACUGCCACCGUAAGGUGAGAGGAAGGUGGGGAUGACGUCAAAUCAGCACGGCCCUUAUGUCCAGGGCUACACACGUGUUACAAUGGCCAGUACAAAGGGCAGCUACCAGGCGACUGGAUGCUAAUCUCUAAAGCUGGUCUCAGUUCGGAUCGAAGUCUGCAACCCGACUUCGUGAAGCUGGAUUCGCUAGUAAUCGCGCAUCAGCCAUGGCGCGGUGAAUACGUUCCCGGGCCUUGUACACACCGCCCGUCAAACAAUGGAAGCUGGGGGUACCUGAAGUAUGUAACCGCAAGGAGCGUCCUAGGGUAAAACUAGUAACUGGUGUU